AUACUACUCCAUGCAAAUUCUUCAUAGAAGAACUGUAGUGGGACUUGGGAGAUUGCAGUUAAUAGUUGCUCUCCUUAAAUGAAUUAGCAGGGAUUAUUAUCAAGGAUCCUUUUGGUUGAUGUGAUAGUUAUCUCCUCUCAACCUUUUCUUUGUAUAUUCCUAUCUGCUUAAAGUAGACUUUGUUAAGAAGACAAUUAAAA
rnacentral:misc_RNA from 1 species